rnacentral:rRNA from 1 species
UAACGACUCUCGGCAACGGAUAUCUCGGCUCACGCAUCGAUGAAGAACGUAGCAAAAUGCGAUACUUGGUGUGAAUUGCAGAAUCCCGUGAACCAUCGAGUUUUUGAACGCAAGUUGCGCCCGAAGCCAUUCGGUUGAGGGCACAUCUGCCUGGGCGUCACGU